rnacentral:lncRNA from 1 species
GCCAUGUCUUCCCAGCAGCAUCAGCAGCAGCAGUGCCUGCCCCAGCAGAUCCAACAGCAGCAGGUGAAGCAGCCCUGUCAGCCGCCCCCUGUCAAAUGUCAAGAGAUGUGUGCACCUAAAACCAAGGAUCCAUGUGCUCCGCAGGCCAAGAAGCAAUGUCCACCCAAGGGCACAGCCAUCCCAGCCCAGCAGAAGUGUCCUGCAACCCAGCAAGCCCCCAAGAGUAAAUAGAAG